GGAGCGAAAGAAACAGGGGAGAAGAGAGAAAGAAGAGAAAGGAAAAAGGGAAAAAGGAGAAAAAUUUUGGCGCGCUCGUGACCCAGACGCCUCCUCAAGCCAACUCAAGUGUGUUUUGCAAGGCCGGAAUCCGAAUGCGUCGGUUCGUGUGAGCAUCGUAUUUGAUUUUUGGCUUUCUCCAGGUUCUUCAGCGAGUCGCGAGUAGGUGUGAGCGUUCGCUCGGGGAGGACUUUUGUUGUGGAACUUUUUGGUAUGGCUUAUGCAUAGUUCAUAAGUUUAUAAGUUAGUUUUUGUAUAAGGUUUAUGUUUUGAAUUUUUGUGGAUUAUAGAUAUACUCUGAUAUAGAUUUUGUAACCAAGUGCCCCUUUUUGUCAAAUAUAUAUAUGUGGAUGUAUAUAUGUUGAUAUCGGGUUGAAUUUUGGUUACGUUGAGGCUGC